GCCAGUAUAGCACACUGGUUUGAGCACUGGACUAUGACUCUGGAGACCAGGGUUUGAUUCCCAGCUUGGCCA